GGUUAAGCGACUAAGCGUACACGGUGGAUGCCCUGGCAGUCAGAGGCGAUGAAGGACGUGCUAAUCUGCGAAAAGCGCCGGCGAGGUGAUAUGAACCUUUGACCCGGCGAUGUCCGAAUGGGGAAACCCAGUGUGUUCCGACACACUAUCGUUAACUGAAUACAUAGGUUAACGAGGCGAACCGGGGGAACUGAAACAUCUAAGUACCCCGAGGAAAAGAAAUCAACCGAGAUUCCCCCAGUAGCGGCGAGCGAACGGGGAGCAGCCCAGAGUCUGAAUCAGCUUGUGUGUUAGUGGAAGCGUCUGGAAAGUCGCACGGUACAGGGUGACAGUCCCGUACACGAAAGCACACAGGCUGUGAACUCGAAGAGUAGGGCGGGACACGUGGUAUCCUGUCUGAAUAUGGGGGGACCAUCCUCCAAGGCUAAAUACUCCUGACUGACCGAUAGUGAACCAGUACCGUGAGGGAAAGGCGAAAAGAACCCCGGCGAGGGGAGUGAAAAAGAACCUGAAACCGUGUACGUACAAGCAGUGGGAGCCUCUUUUAUGGGGUGACUGCGUACCUUUUGUAUAAUGGGUCAGCGACUUAUAUUCUGUAGCAAGGUUAACCGUAUAGGGGAGCCGAAGGGAAACCGAGUCUUAACUGGGCGUUAAGUUGCAGGGUAUAGACCCGAAACCCGGUGAUCUAGCCAUGGGCAGGUUGAAGGUUGGGUAACACUAACUGGAGGACCGAACCGACUAAUGUUGAAAAAUUAGCGGAUGACUUGUGGCUGGGGGUGAAAGGCCAAUCAAACCGGGAGAUAGCUGGUUCUCCCCGAAAGCUAUUUAGGUAGCGCCUCGUGAAUUCAUCUUCGGGGGUAGAGCACUGUUUCGGCUAGGGGGCCAUCCCGGCUUACCAACCCGAUGCAAACUACGAAUACCGAAGAAUGUUAUCACGGGAGACACACGGCGGGUGCUAACGUCCGUCGUGAAGAGGGAAACAACCCAGACCGCCAGCUAAGGUCCCAAAGUCAUGGUUAAGUGGGAAACGAUGUGGGAAGGCACAGACAGCCAGGAUGUUGGCUUAGAAGCAGCCAUCAUUUAAAGAAAGCGUAAUAGCUCACUGGUCGAGUCGGCCUGCGCGGAAGAUGUAACGGGGCUAAACCAUGCACCGAAGCUGCGGCAGCGACACUAUGUGUUGUUGGGUAGGGGAGCGUUCUGUAAGCCGUUGAAGGUGUCCUGUGAGGGGUGCUGGAGGUAUCAGAAGUGCGAAUGCUGACAUAAGUAACGAUAAAGCGGGUGAAAAGCCCGCUCGCCGGAAGACCAAGGGUUCCUGUCCAACGUUAAUCGGGGCAGGGUGAGUCGACCCCUAAGGCGAGGCCGAAAGGCGUAGUCGAUGGGAAACAGGUUAAUAUUCCUGUACUUGGUGUUACUGCGAAGGGGGGACGGAGAAGGCUAUGUUAGCCGGGCGACGGUUGUCCCGGUUUAAGCAUGUAGGCGGAGGUUCCAGGUAAAUCCGGUUCCUUGUUAACGCUGAGGUGUGAUGACGAGGCACUACGGUGCUGAAGUAACAAAUGCCCUGCUUCCAGGAAAAGCCUCUAAGCAUCAGGUAACAUCAAAUCGUACCCCAAACCGACACAGGUGGUCAGGUAGAGAAUACCAAGGCGCUUGAGAGAACUCGGGUGAAGGAACUAGGCAAAAUGGUGCCGUAACUUCGGGAGAAGGCACGCUGAUAUGUAGGUGAAGCCCCUGCGGGUGGAGCUGAAAUCAGUCGAAGAUACCAGCUGGCUGCAACUGUUUAUUAAAAACACAGCACUGUGCAAACACGAAAGUGGACGUAUACGGUGUGACGCCUGCCCGGUGCCGGAAGGUUAAUUGAUGGGGUUAGCGGUAACGCGAAGCUCUUGAUCGAAGCCCCGGUAAACGGCGGCCGUAACUAUAACGGUCCUAAGGUAGCGAAAUUCCUUGUCGGGUAAGUUCCGACCUGCACGAAUGGCGUAAUGAUGGCCAGGCUGUCUCCACCCGAGACUCAGUGAAAUUGAACUCGCUGUGAAGAUGCAGUGUACCCGCGGCAAGACGGAAAGACCCCGUGAACCUUUACUAUAGCUUGACACUGAACACUGGUCCUUGAUGUGUAGGAUAGGUGGGAGGCUUUGAAGCGUGGACGCCAGUCUGCGUGGAGCCAACCUUGAAAUACCACCCUUUAAUGGCUGGUGUUCUAACGUAGACCCGUGAUCCGGGUUGCGGACAGUGUCUGGUGGGUAGUUUGACUGGGGCGGUCUCCUCCCAAAGAGUAACGGAGGAGCACGAAGGUUAGCUAAUCCUGGUCGGACAUCAGGAGGUUAGUGCAAUGGCAUAAGCUAGCUUGACUGCGAGAGUGACGGCUCGAGCAGGUGCGAAAGCAGGUCAUAGUGAUCCGGUGGUUCUGAAUGGAAGGGCCAUCGCUCAACGGAUAAAAGGUACUCCGGGGAUAACAGGCUGAUACCGCCCAAGAGUUCAUAUCGACGGCGGUGUUUGGCACCUCGAUGUCGGCUCAUCACAUCCUGGGGCUGAAGUAGGUCCCAAGGGUAUGGCUGUUCGCCAUUUAAAGUGGUACGCGAGCUGGGUUUAGAACGUCGUGAGACAGUUCGGUCCCUAUCUGCCGUGGGCGCUGGAGAAUUGAGGGGGGCUGCUCCUAGUACGAGAGGACCGGAGUGGACGCAUCACUGGUGUUCGGGUUGUCAUGCCAAUGGCACUGCCCGGUAGCUAAAUGCGGAAGAGAUAAGUGCUGAAAGCAUCUAAGCACGAAACUUGCCCCGAGAUGAGUUCUCCCUGAGACUUUAAGUCUCCUGAAGGAACGUUGAAGACUACGACGUUGAUAGGUCGGGUGUGUAAGCGCAGCGAUGCGUUGAGCUAACCGAUACUAAUGAACCGUGAGGCUUAACCUU
rnacentral:rRNA from 1 species